GACUCGUCACACUAUCAUUAACUGAAUCCAUAGGUUAAUGAGGCGAACCGGGGGAACUGAAACAUCUAAGUACCCCGAGGAAAAGAAAUCAACCGAGAUUCCCCCAGUAGCGGCGAGCGAACGGGGAGGAGCCCAGAGCCUGAAUCAGCAUGUGUGUUAGUGGAAGCGUCUGGAAAGGCGCGCGAUACAGGGUGACAGCCCCGUACACAAAAGCGCAUGUGCUGUGAGCUCGAUGAGUAGGGCGGGACACGUGGUAUCCUGUCUGAAUAUGGGGGGACCAUCCUCCAAGGCUAAAUACUCCUGACUGACCGAUAGUGAACCAGUACCGUGAGGGAAAGGCGAAAAGAACCCCGGCGAGGGGAGUGAAAAAGAACCUGAAACCGUGUACGUACAAGCAGUGGGAGCACCCUUUGGGGUGUGACUGCGUACCUUUUGUAUAAUGGGUCAGCGACUUAUAUUCUGUAGCAAGGUUAACCGAAUAGGGGAGCCGGAGGGAAACCGAGUCUUAAUUGGGCGUUAAGUUGCAGGGUAUAGACCCGAAACCCGGUGAUCUAGCCAUGGGCAGGUUGAAGGUUGGGUAACACUAACUGGAGGACCGAACCGACUAAUGUUGAAAAAUUAGCGGAUGACCUGUGGCUGGGGGUGAAAGGCCAAUCAAACCGGGAGAUAGCUGGUUCUCCCCGAAAGCUAUUUAGGUAGCGCCUCGUGAAUUCAUCUCCGGGGGUAGAGCACUGUUUCGGCUAGGGGGCCAUCCCGGCUUACCAACCCGAUGCAAACUGCGAAUACCGGAGAAUGUUAUCACGGGAGACACACGGCGGGUGCUAACGUCCGUCGUGAAGAGGGAAACAACCCAGACCGCCAGCUAAGGUCCCAAAGUCAUGGUUAAGUGGGAAACGAUGUGGGAAGGCCCAGACAGCCAGGAUGUUGGCUUAGAAGCAGCCAUCAUUUAAAGAAAGCGUAAUAGCUCACUGGUCGAGUCGGCCUGCGCGGAAGAUGUAACGGGGCUAAACCAUGCACCGAAGCUGCGGCAGCGACACUCAGGUGUUGUUGGGUAGGGGAGCGUUCUGUAAGCCUGCGAAGGUGGCCUGUGAGGGUUGCUGGAGGUAUCAGAAGUGCGAAUGCUGACAUAAGUAACGAUAAAGCGGGUGAAAAGCCCGCUCGCCGGAAGACCAAGGGUUCCUGUCCAACGUUAAUCGGGGCAGGGUGAGUCGACCCCUAAGGCGAGGCCGAAAGGCGUAGUCGAUGGGAAACGGGUUAAUAUUCCCGUACUUGGUGUUACUGCGAAGGGGGGACGGAGAAGGCUAUGUUGGCCGGGCGACGGUUGUCCCGGUUUAAGCGUGUAGGUGUGUGUUCCAGGUAAAUCCGGUUCACUUUAACACUGAGGCGUGAUGACGAGGCACUACGGUGCUGAAGCAACAAAUGCCCUGCUUCCAGGAAAAGCCUCUAAGCAUCAGGUAACAUCAAAUCGUACCCCAAACCGACACAGGUGGUCAGGUAGAGAAUACCAAGGCGCUUGAGAGAACUCGGGUGAAGGAACUAGGCAAAAUGGUGCCGUAACUUCGGGAGAAGGCACGCUGACACGUAGGUGAAGUGAUUUACUCAUGGAGCUGAAGUCAGUCGAAGAUACCAGCUGGCUGCAACUGUUUAUUAAAAACACAGCACUGUGCAAACACGAAAGUGGACGUAUACGGUGUGACGCCUGCCCGGUGCCGGAAGGUUAAUUGAUGGGGUCAGCGCAAGCGAAGCUCCUGAUCGAAGCCCCGGUAAACGGCGGCCGUAACUAUAACGGUCCUAAGGUAGCGAAAUUCCUUGUCGGGUAAGUUCCGACCUGCACGAAUGGCGUAAUGAUGGCCAGGCUGUCUCCACCCGAGACUCAGUGAAAUUGAACUCGCUGUGAAGAUGCAGUGUACCCGCGGCAAGACGGAAAGACCCCGUGAACCUUUACUAUAGCUUGACACUGAACAUUGAGCCUUGAUGUGUAGGAUAGGUGGGAGGCUUUGAAGUGUGGACGCCAGUCUGCAUGGAGCCGGCCUUGAAAUACCACCCUUUAAUGUUU
rnacentral:rRNA from 1 species